rnacentral:rRNA from 1 species
UACGAAGGGGGCUAGCGUUGCUCGGAAUCACUGGGCGUAAAGGGUGCGUAGGCGGGUCUUUAAGUCAGGGGCGAAAUCCUGGAGCUCAACUCCAGAACUGCCUUUGAUACUGAAGAUCUUGAGUUCGGGAGAGGUGAGUGGAACUGCGAGUGUAGAGGUGAAAUUCGUAGAUAUUCGCAAGAACACCAGUGGCGAAGGCGGCUCACUGGCCCGAUACUGACGCUGAGGUGCGAAAGCGUGGGGAGCAAACAGG